rnacentral:rRNA from 1 species
UCGCCUGUUUUCAAAAACAUGGCCUCUUGAUAGAUGUAUUGGAGGUUUGGCCUGCCCACUGAAGAUUUUUGAAGGGCCGCGGUAUUUUGACCGUGCGAAGGUAGCAUAAUCAUUAGUCUUUUAAUUGAAGGCUGGAAUGAAUGGUUGGACGAGGCACUGACUGUCUCAUGGUGAUUGAGUGAUAGAAUUUAACAUUUGAGUGAAAAGGCUUAAAUGGAUUUAGAGGACGAGAAGACCCUAUAGAGCUUGACAUUGAGGUUUUGGUGGGUGUGAAGGUGAUUUAACCUAUGAUUAGUCCUCAGUGUUUUAUUGGGGUGAUAGGAAGAUAGAAGAAACUCUUUUUAGUUUAAAGACAUUGAUUAGUGGAUGAUUGAUCCGUUAGUAGUGAUUAUAAGACUAAGUUACCUUAGGGAUAACAGCGUAAUUUUUUUUGAGAGAUCUUAUCGACAAAAAAGGUUGCGACCUCGAUGUUGGAUUAAGGAAAUACUUGGGUGCAGAUGUUCAAGUGUUAGGUCUGUUCGACCUUUGAAUCCUUACAUGAUCUGAGUUCCAAACCGGAGA